GACUAACGCUGGCGGCGUGCCUAACACAUGCAAGUCGAACGAGGUAGCAAUACCUAGUGGCAGACGGGUGAGUAACGCGUAGAUAAUGUGCCCUCUUGCGGGGGAUACCGUUUCGUAAAGGAACGUUAAUACCGCAUAACACGAAGCCGAGGCAUCUCGGAAUCGUCAAACUUCCGGGGCGGGGAGGAGCAGUCUGCGUUCUAUCAGCUAGUUGGUGGGGUAAGUGGCCUACCAAGGCGACGACGGAUAACUGGUCUGAGAGGAUGAUCAGUCACACUGGAACUGAGACACGGUCCAGACUCCUACGGGAGGCAGCAGUGAGGAAUCAUUCGCAAUAGGGGGAAACCCGUGACGAUGCAACGCCGCGUGGAGGAAGAC
rnacentral:rRNA from 1 species